rnacentral:rRNA from 1 species
CAACCUGGUUGAUCCUGCCAGUGGUAUAUGCUUGUCUCAAGGACUAAGCCAUGCAAGUGCCAGUAUGAGUGACUUAUACAACGAAACUGCGAAUGGCUCGGUAAAACAGCUAUAGUUUCUUCGGGGGUACAUUACUACUCGGCUAUCCGUAGUAAUUCUAGAGCUAAUACGUGCCAUAAAGCGAGCUGCUUGCGGCUUGCGGUACUUAUUGGAGGUACAAGCCAGUUUUUCUGGUGAUUCACAAUAAUUUUUCUGAUCGCUGCUCUUUUGCAGCGACGCCCCGUUCAAAUUUCUGACCUAUCAACUUCGGAUGGUAAGGUAUUGUCUUACCAUGGUUUUGACGGGUAACGGACCGUGGGUGCGGGACUCCGGAGAGGGAGCCUGAGAAACGGCUACCACAUCCAAGGAAGGCAGCAGGCGCGCAAAUUACCCAAUCUGAACUUCAGGAGGUAGUGACAAGAAAUAGCAAUAGGGGGCCCGAUGGGCUUCCUAAUUGGAAUGAGAACAAGAUAAACGGCUUAUCGAGGAGCCAGCAGAGGGCAAGUCUGGUGCCAGCAGCCGCGGUAAUUCCAGCUCUGUAAGCGUAUACCAAAGUUGUUGCAGUUAAAACGCUCGUAGUCGGAUUUUGGCGGGUGGCGUGGGGCGUCCGCGAGGACGUUUCUGCGGCGGCCGCCUUUGUGGAGGGGGGCGCGGUGGUGCUUUGUUGCAUUGCCGUGUCGCCGCCACCGUUUACUGUGAAAAAAUUAGAGUGUUCAAAGCGGGCGUUUGCCAUGAAUACAUUAGCAUGGAAUAAUAGAAUAGGACCUGUUCUUAUUUUAUUGGUUUGUUUAGUUCAGGUAAUGAUUAAGAGGGACGGUUGGGGGCAUUUGUAUUCUGACGUCAGAGGUGAAAUUCUUAGAUCGUCAGAAGACAAACAGCUGCGAAAGCGUCUGCCAAGGACGUUUUCAUUGAUCAAGAACGAAAGUAAGGGGAUCGAAGACGAUCAGAUACCGUCGUAGUCUUUACUAUAAACGAUGAGGACUAGGGAUCGGGCGUGGCCAAAAUUUUGUACGCUCGGCACCUUCCGGGAAACCAAAGUAUUUGCUUUCUGGGGGGAGUAUGGUCGCAAGGCUGAAACUUAAAGGAAUUGACGGAAGGGCAUCACUGGGUGUGGAGCCUGCGGCUUAAUUUGACUCAACACGGGAAAACUUACCAGGUCAGGACAUCAGUAGGAUUAACAGAUUGAGAGCUCUUUUUUGAUUUGAUGGUUGGUGGUGCAUGGCCGUUCUUAGUUGGUGGAGUGAUCUGUCUGGUUAAUUCCGUUAACGAGCGAGACCUGGGCGUGCUAGCUAGGCGCUGUUAUCUUUUUUGGAUAGCAAGGUAGCCUUCCUAGACGGACUGUGGGCGUCUAGUCCACGGAAGCUCCAGGCAAUAACAGGUCUGAGAUGCCCUUAGAUGUUCUGGGCCGCACGCGUGCUACACUGAGCGGAUCAACGGGUGAGGUAAUGCGAAAGCACUACCCAAUCUCUAAAUCCGCUCGUGCUGGGGAUAGAGGCUUGCAAUUUUCCCUCUUGAACGAGGAAUACCUUGUAAGCACGGGUCAUCAUCCCGUGCUGAAUACGUCCCUGCCCUUUGUACACACCGCCCGUCGCUCCUACCGAUUGAGUGGUCCGGUGAGGCCUUGGGAGGGCUGAAUAGACUGUUCUUGAACAGACUUUUUGGCUUCAACUUGGUCAAACCUUAUCACUUAGAGGAAGGAGAAGUCGUAACAAGGUUUCCGUAGGUGAACCUGCAGAAGGAUCAAGCUA